UACGUAGGGUGCAGGCGUUAAUCGGAAUUACUGGGCGUAAAGCGUGCGCAGGCGGUCUUUUAAGUCAGAUGUGAAAUCCCCGGGCUUAACCUGGGAACUGCGUUUGAAACUGGAAGGCUUGAGUGUGGCAGAGGGGGGUGGAAUUCCACGUGUAGCAGUGAAAUGCGUAGAUAUGCGGAGGAACACCGAUGGCGAAGGCAAUCCCCUGGACCUGUACUGACGCUCAUGCACGAAAGCGUGGGGAGCAAACAGG
rnacentral:rRNA from 1 species